UACGUAGGGGGCAAGCGUUAUCCGGAAUUACUGGGUGUAAAGGGAGCGUAGACGGUAAUGCAAGUCUGGAGUGAAAGGCGGGGGCCCAACCCCCGGACUGCUCUGGAAACUGUGAAGCUGGAGUGCAGAAGAGGAGAGUGGAACUCCAUGUGUAGCGGUGAAAUGCGUAGAUAUUAGGAGGAACACCAGUGGCGAAGGCGGCUUACUGGACUGUAACUGACGUUGAGGCUCGAAAGCGUGGGGAGCAAACAGG
rnacentral:rRNA from 1 species